UGCAAUGGUCGAGGGAUCACUCAGCUCGUCCGUCGAUGAAGAGUGCGGCUAUCCGCGUAAACUGAUGCGAAUUGCAGGACUCGGUGAACACCUCGAACGCACAUUGCGGCCCCGAGAUCCCAUCGUCCCAGGGCCCUGUCUGGUCGAGAGGUU
rnacentral:rRNA from 1 species